GACGAACGCUGGCGGCGUGCUUAACACAUGCAAGUCGAACGGAAAGGCCCUGCUUUUGUGGGGUGCUCGAGUGGCGAACGGGUGAGUAACACGUGAGUAACCUGCCCUUGACUUUGGGAUAACUUCAGGAAACUGGGGCUAAUACCGGAUAGGAGCUCCUGCUGCAUGGUGGGGGUUGGAAAGUUUCGGCGGUUGGGGAUGGACUCGCGGCUUAUCAGCUUGUUGGUGGGGUAGUGGCUUACCAAGGCUUUGACGGGUAGCCGGCCUGAGAGGGUGACCGGCCACAUUGGGACUGAGAUACGGCCCAGACUCCUACGGGAGGCAGCAGUGGGGAAUAUUGCACAAUGGGCGGAUGCCUGAUGCAGCAACGCCGCGUGCGGGAUGACGGCCUUCGGGUUGUAAACCGCUUUCGCCUGUGACGAAGCGUGAGUGACGGUAAUGGGUAAAGAAGCACCGGCUAACUACGUGCCAGCAGCCGCGGUGAUACGUAGGGUGCGAGCGUUGUCCGGAUUUAUUGGGCGUAAAGGGCUCGUAGGUGGUUGAUCGCGUCGGAAGUGUAAUCUUGGGGCUUAACCCUGAGCGUGCUUUCGAUACGGGUUGACUUGAGGAAGGUAGGGGAGAAUGGAAUUCCUGGUGGAGCGGUGGAAUGCGCAGAUAUCAGGAGGAACACCAGUGGCGAAGGCGGUCCUCUGGGCCUUUCCUGACGCUGAGGAGCGAAAGCGUGGGGAGCGAACAGGCUUAGAUACCCUGGUAGUCCACGCUGUAAACGGUGGGUACUAGGUGUGGGGUCCAUUCCACGGGUUCCGUGCCGUAGCUAACGCUUUAAGUACCCCGCCUGGGGAGUACGGCCGCAAGGCUAAAACUCAAAGGAAUUGACGGGGCCCCGCACAAGCGGCGGAGCAUGCGGAUUAAUUCGAUGCAACGCGUAGAACCUUACCUGGGUUUGACAUGGAUCGGGAGUGCUCAGAGAUGGGUGUGCCUCUUUUGGGGUCGGUUCACAGGUGGUGCAUGGCUGUCGUCAGCUCGUGUCGUGAGAUGUUGGGUUAAGUCCCGCAACGAGCGCAACCCUUGUUCACUGUUGCCAGCACGUUAUGGUGGGGACUCAGUGGAGACCGCCGGGGUCAACUCGGAGGAAGGUGGGGAUGACGUCAAGUCAUCAUGCCCCUUAUGUCCAGGGCUUCACGCAUGCUACAAUGGCUGGUACAGAGAGUGGCGAGCCUGUGAGGGUGAGCGAAUCUCGGAAAGCCGGUCUCAGUUCGGAUUGGGGUCUGCAACUCGACCUCAUGAAGUCGGAGUCGCUAGUAAUCGCAGAUCAGCAACGCUGCGGUGAAUACGUUCCCGGG
rnacentral:rRNA from 1 species